rnacentral:rRNA from 1 species
AUGGAGAGGAUUUUAAUCGGUGAUAUGCGCAACGGUGCCGCUAAUCUAGUUCAGAGCUUGGUUCGUCAGUUGAAUAACACGAAGCGUUUCAGAACUAUGCAAAACUCUCGCUGCAAGCCAUAUGAAGAAAGUGCAAAUGUUGUUAUCAAGCAGUUUGAGAAGGAUGAGGCUACUGCCACCGACAGCAGGGCUGGUGAUGGUACUGAGGCUAAUGUUUUUGAUCACGAAACGAAUGAUGUUGGUUUUGAGCGUCCUGAUGUUGUUAUUGAUCACGAUGAGGCUGCUGCCACCGACAGCUGGGCUGAUGAUGGUACUGAGGCUAAUGUUUCUGAUCAGCGUACGAACGAUGUUGGCUCGCAGCACCCUGUUGUUGAUGAGAGCAAUCAUAAUGUUGAGGGUUCUGUUGACGGUGGAGUUAAUGGUCUAUCCACUGAUAAGUGCAAGGGUUCUAUUGUUGGCGAUGAGCCUUUUUUGCCUGUUGGUGAUGUCGCUUUGAAUGUUAGCAGCAGCAAGUUUGAUGAUGUUGCUGUGAAUGCUUCCAAGAUUACUGAUGUUGAGCGUGAGGUUGUCCUUAGUGGUGGAGAUGAUGCUCAUGAUGUUCCAUUGAGUAGUGGGCGCAAUGUUGGUACCAAAGUUGCUGAUGAGGAUGCUGGUGAUGCCAGCAUACUUGAUGCCAAAUCGCCUGGUGUUGGUAUUGCUGGGAAUGAAAAUGUUUCUGCUUGUGAAGAUUUGCCGCCAGAGAAUUUCCCGCCUGGAGGUCUUGAUUACGGUGAUGCAUUGCAAGAUGCUUCUAGCAUGGAGGAGGUGCCAUCCGAGGAUGAUGAUUUACUUCUGUCAUUUUCUUCUGACCCCUUGACGCAGGAGGCGCUCUUGUCGUCCCAGGAUUUUCUUUCUAUAGACCCUGAAAGCGCAUCAAUAUUGGUGUCCUCUCAAGAUGUCCCAUCAUCAAACCCUGAAACUGGAGGCAUAAUGGUCUCAUCACAGGAACUACCAUCGUCGUCAAACCCUGAUAGUCCAGAAAGCGGUAAUGUUGUUAAGGUUGAUACGUUUUUCUUCGCUGUUAUGAGGUUGCGCACGAACCGUACGAAAUGUCACAAGCCGAUGUUUCAAAAUAAAGAAUGUGAUGCCAGUGUUGGUUCUAUUGCUAAAGCGUUUGUCCCCACUGGCAUGCUCAACUCAGACAGUGCUGAUGUUGUUUUAUAUUCUCUACGUCAGAAGUACCGAGACACUGACAAGUUGAUAGUUCCCAGAUGGGUGACGACCAAGAUCCGUGAUGGAAAUAUUGACCGCAAUGUGCUAAAUUGGUUCACAAGAUCAGGUGAGUGGCUGGAUCUUGGUGAGCAUGACUACAGGUUCUUUGGUAUCCAGUUAUUGGAGCUCAAGCGCGUAGCUAUUGAUCUUAGCCAGGGGCGUUCUUCCGAAAAGACAAGAUCUGGUGUUAUGAAGGGGCGGUUGGGAGCUCUGAGAGGUUUUACGGCUGCUUGUGCAGAUAGCUCUACUACACCCAAGAAUCCCAUUGUGGAAUUGAUAGACGGCGAUGAUGAUGUGUUUGACAAGAUUGUUGGCGUUGGAAGAGUCACGAGGAGCGCUGCUGCCAAAGGUUUAUCUCCCCUUGCUGGAAUAGUGGCUCGUAGAGCUGGUGCUGCUAGGAAAGACCCCGCUUUGGAUUCUGGCAAUGUUGUAAGCACGAAGCGUGCGCCCAGAGCUCCUAUAAAGUUUUGCUCCCCUGUGCAGCAGCUUCACCCUCAUAAAUUCCCUCACUUGGACAAGGCUCGCAGGUUGUAUAAUCUGUUGCUUAGUGAUGAAUGGCGUGAGAAGUAUGCCGAGAAUACAUUCUCAAUGAUACCUCAACCUGAUGGAAACGUAACUAACUUCACUGGGAAUCGCAUGUGGGAAGGUUUUUCACCUGGGCAAAUGAUGGAGGGUGAUGUAAUGGACUUCCUCAUUGAUGAUUGGAAGCAAGAUCCCGAUAGAAAUGCUGAUUUCGCAUCUGGGAAAAGGAUAUUGCUGAGUCCAUAUUUCAUCAUGGUUGUGCUUGACUUUUCCUAUUACGAGGAUGAAAUAAAGUGUUCAAUGUGGAGAGUGCAGCGAGAGAUUUCAAGAGCUAUGUUAAAGCUAAUGAAGACUUGCUCAGUGCCAACCUUAUAA